rfam:Medicago truncatula strain A17 chromosome 3, whole genome shotgun sequence.
UCAUAAGCAAAAAGUCACUUUUUAGGUUCAUUGAAUAAUUGAUGUAUUUGGCCUAUAUUAUAGACCAGAUACAUCAAUUAUUCAAUGAAUCUAAAAAGUGAUUUUUUGCUGAUUA